UUUUAAACUCAAGCAGAGUACCCGCCUUCAAGGAAGUUAACGCCUGUCAAUGGAGAGAGGCCAGACUCUCUGGACUAAUGAAAUGGACCUGAGUCUGGUAGGACCAGGCUAAUGGACCAGAGUCUGGUAGUACCAGGCUA